rnacentral:sRNA from 1 species
GAUGGGCGACUUCUCGGGCACGGCGAUCCUUCCUGUCCUGCCGGGGAGGCCGGCCGGCGA